AAAGAAACCAACCGGGAUUGCCUCAGUAACGGCGAGUGAAGCGGCAAGAGCUCAAAUUUGAAAUCUGGCCCCCUCGGGGUCCGAGUUGUAAUUUGCAGAGGAUGCUUCGGGUGCGGCCCCCGUCUAAGUGCCCUGGAACGGGCCGUCAUAGAGGGUGAGAAUCCCGUCUGGGACGGGGUGUCCGCGUCCGUGUGAAGCUCCUUCGACGAGUCGAGUUGUUUGGGAAUGCAGCUCUAAAUGGGUGGUAAAUUUCAUCUAAAGCUAAAUACUGGCCGGAGACCGAUAGCGCACAAGUAGAGUGAUCGAAAGAUGAAAAGCACUUUGAAAAGAGAGUUAAAAAGCACGUGAAAUUGUUGAAAGGGAAGCGCUUGCGACCAGACUCGCCCGCGGGGUUCAGCCGGCAUUCGUGCCGGUGUACUUCCCCGCGGGCGGGCCAGCGUCGGUUUGGGCGGCCGGUCAAAGGCCCCCGGAAUGUAGCACCCUUCGGGGUGCCUUAUAGCCGGGGGUGCAAUGCGGCCAGCCUGGACCGAGGAACGCGCUUCGGCACGGACGCUGGCAUAAUGGUCGUAAACGAC
rnacentral:rRNA from 4 species